rnacentral:rRNA from 1 species
GCUAAUACGCAUACGACGAGAGGUAAAGGGGGCCGCAAGGCUCUCACUGAGGAGGGGUCCGCGUUCGAUUAGCUAGUUGGUAGGGUAGUGGCCUACCAAGGCGACGAUCGAUAGCCGGCCUGAGAGGGUGAUCGGCCACACUGGAACUGAGACACGGUCCAGACUCCUACGGGAGGCAGCAGUGGGGAAUUUUGCGCAAUGGGCUAACGCCUGACGCAGCAACGCCGCGUGGAGGAUGAAGGUCUUUGGAUUGUAAACUCCUGUCAGCAGGGAAAAAGGGACCCGACCUCAUACGUCGGGAACUUGAUUGUACCUGCAGAGGAAGCCCCGGCUAACUCUGUGCCAGCAGCCGCGGUAAUACAGAGGGGGCAAGCGUUAUUCGGAAUUAUUGGGCGUAAAGGGCGCGUAGGCGGCCAUUCAAGUGACGGGUGAAAGCCCUCGGCUUAACCGAGGAACUGCCUGUCAGACUGGAUGGCUUGAGACCGGGAGAGGUGAGUGGAAUUCCCAGUGUAGCGGUGAAAUGCGUAGAUAUUGGGAGGAACACCAGUGGCGAAGGCGGCUCACUGGACCGGAACUGACGCUAGGCGCGAAAGCGUGGGAGCAAACAGG